GGUUAACGCUGGCGGCGUGCCUAACACAUGCAAGUCGAACGGUUCUAAGCGCGAGCUUAGGAUAGUGGCGAACGGGUGAGUAAAAGGUAGGAAUCUACCCCUUGGACGGAGAUAGCUACUGGAAACGGUAGGUAAACUUCGAUAAGCCCGAGAGGGGAAAGUGGUGAGACAGCCGAGGGAUGAGCCUACUCUCCAUCAGGUAGUUGGUGAGAUAAAAGCUUACCAAGCCGAUGACGGAUAACCGGUGUGAGAGCAUGAACGGUCACAAGGGCACUGAGAGACGGGCCCUACUCCUACGGGAGGCAGCAGUGGGGAAUCUUGGACAAUGGGCGAAAGCCUGAUCCAGCGACGCCGCGUGGAGGAAGAAGUCCUUCGGGAUGUAAACUUCUGAACUAGCCGAAUAAAAGGACCUGUGGACACACAGGAGAAGAAAGUAGGCUAGGAAAAGUCCCGGCUAACUACGUG
rnacentral:rRNA from 1 species